UACGGGGGGGGCAAGCGUUGUUCGGAAUUACUGGGCGUAAAGGGUUUGUAGGUGGCUUGUUAAGUCAGACGUGAAAUCCCUCAGCUUAACUGGGGAACUGCGUCUGAUACUGGCGAGCUUGAGUGCAGGAGAGGAACGCGGAAUUCCGUGUGUAGCGGUGAAAUGCGUAGAUAUACGGAGGAAUACCUGAGGCGAAGGCGGGUUGCUGGGCCAACACUGACGCUGAGGCGCGAAAGCCAGGGGAGCAAACGGG
rnacentral:rRNA from 1 species